AUUGAACGCUGGCGGCAUGCCUUACACAUGCAAGUCGAACGGCAGCACGGGAGCAAUCCUGGUGGCGAGCGGCGAACGGGUGAGUAAAGUAUCGGAACGUGCCCAGUCGUGGGGAAUAACGUAGCGAAAGUUACGCUAAUACCGCAUACGAUCUAUGGAUGAAAGCGGGGGAUCGCAAGACCUCGCGCGAUUGGAGCGGCCGAUAUCAGAUUAGGUAGUUGGUGGGGUAAAGGGCCACCAAGCCAACGAUCUGUAGCUGGUCUGAGAGGACGACCAGACACACGGGAACUGAGACACGGUCCAGACUCCUACGGGAGGCUGCAGUGGGGAAUUUUGGACAAUGGGCGAAAGCCUGAUCCAGCCAUUCCGCGUGCAGGAUGAAGGCCCUCGGGUUGUAAGCUGCUUUUGUACAGAACGAAAAGGUUUCUACUAAUACUAGGAGCUCAUGACGGUACUGUAAGAAUAAGCACCGGCUAACUACGUGCCAGCAGCCGCAGUAA
rnacentral:rRNA from 1 species